UUGUUGACCAUCAGUUCACCUCCCACUUUCUUUGACUGGAUGCUACAGCGUGUCAGAAGGCUGAACAAAUGACUCAGGCUGUAAGAGGACUGUCAAAGGGUCACAUUUCAUGAAAAUAACAAAACAAAAUUGGGAGUACCGAACCAGUGCAAGAGAGAGGAGAGGUGGAGGCCUACACUGGAGAGAAGAGGAAUGAAGGGUGUGACGUCGCUGGCUGAUGUUUGCCCAAAGCAGGAGUGGAGAGUGAGUUGCAGUCUGCGUGGGAAUGGAUUCUGCUAAUGUCAGCGGACGAACCAGCUCCAAGCACAGCGCGGAAACCCCACAAAAACACAACGGUCUCCUCUGUUAAUGUCUUGGCCGUGAGUCCGUGACGCUCACCCCCAUGAGUGCAAGCACAGCGAUCAGGCUACAGUGCCAGUAAGAAGAUGCCUCAGAUGCCAGAAACACUGGGUGUUGCUGAUGGUGUUCAGUCGUGAAUAAGGUCUCCAACAAAGCCCACCAGAAAGGACGACAACACGCCGCCAAUGGAGAAGAUCGCCACGGACAGCGACCAGUACAUGACCACAGUCGGAUGUUGACCCACCUCGGG